AUACGCAAUCAAAGAAAUGUGCAGCGUAAUAACAGAAAAGAGAAAAAUGCCUGCACAAGAGACUUGAUCUGUUUGAACCUCCUUUUGUCACGUUCUCUACUUUACUUUUUUUCCCUUUCA
rnacentral:ribozyme from 13 species